AUUGAACGCUGGCGGCAUGCCUAACACAUGCAAGUCGAGCGGUUGAAGGGAGCUUGCUGCUGGAGUCAGCGGCGGACGGGUGAGUAAUGCCUAGGAAUCUGCCUGGUAGUGGGGGAUAACGUCCGGAAACGGGCGCUAAUACCGCAUACGUCCUGAGUGAGAAAAGGGGGGAGCUUCGGACCUCACGCUAUCAGAUGAGCCUAGGUCGGAGUAGCUAGUUGGUGGGGUAAAGGCCUACCAAGGCGACGAUCCGUAACUGGUCUGAGAGGAUGAUCAGUCACACUGGAACUGAGACACGGUCCAGACUCCUACGGGAGGCAGCAGUGGGGAAUAUUGGACAAUGGGCGAAAGCCUGAUCCAGCCAUGCCGCGUGUGUGAAGAAGGUCUUCGGAUUGUAAAGCACUUUAAGUUGGGAGGAAGGGCAGUAAGUUAAUACAUUGCUGUCUUGACGUUACCAAAAGAAUAAGCACCGGCUAACUUCGUG
rnacentral:rRNA from 1 species